rnacentral:rRNA from 1 species
GAUGAACGCUGGCGGCGUGCCUAACACAUGCAAGUCGAGCGGACAGACGAGGAGUUUGCUCUGCUGACGUUAGCGGCGGACGGGUGAGUAACACGUGGAUAACCUACCUAUAAGUCUGGGAUAACUACGGGAAACCGGAGCCAAUACCAGCUAAUAUAUUGAACCGCUGGGUUCAAUGGUGAAAGACGGUUUUGCUGUCACUAAUAGCUGGUUCCGGGACGCAUUAGCUAGUGGGUAAGGUAACGGCUUACCAAGGCGACGAUGCGUAGCCGACCUGAGAGGAUGAUCAGCCACACUGGAACUGAGACACGGUCCAGACUCCUACGGGAGGCAGCAGUAGGGAAUCUUGGACAAUGGGCGAAAGCCUGACCCAGCCAUGCCGCGUGUGUGAAGAAGGUCUUCGGAUCGUAAAGCCCUUUUAUUGGGGAAGAACAGCAGUGUGUUAAAACCUCGCUGUCUUGACGGUACCUAAUGAAUAAGCAACGGCUAACUACGUG